AACUUGUAAUGCAUCACCCAAAGGUGUAAAUGGUAAACAGAAAGAAUAAAUGCUAAAUUUAUAGAGCACUCUGGCCACAACCUAUGCUUUAAUCCCCUCCCAAGUAAUAAGGCUUUCCUAAGGGAAGACAUGUAGAAUAUUUACAGUCAGCGAGAUCCCAAUACAAAGCACAAUGCCCUUGGUAUAAGGCAUAAGAUUACAGAGGCAGAUGUGUUUCUCCCUUGGAUGUUUAAAUAUACAGUCAGAAAUCUAAAAAUCCAUGCAGUCUGAAGUUCAAACUGUAUUAGGCAUCCAUAUGAAAUAAAGCUUAUUUUAUUUCUGCACUGCACCUUCACAGAGCCCUUUUCCUGGUAGGGCGGUCAGGUGGCUGCAGGGUCAUGCAAUUCGCUGAGUGCUUAUGCUGUGUUGACAUUACACUUUUCACAGCACAGAUAACGUGGGGGAAUCUUAGUCUACAUAACAAAAUUUCACUGACGUGGAAAGAAGCUGGACACAUUGACUGCAAGGAGACAAACUGCAUACACGCGGGAGCAGAUAAUAUACUGGUGAUGUGCACAAAUCAGGAAUUCAACACAUCUUAGACAUGUAUCUGUACAUGAUGUCUUUCCAUGUAAGCAGCCAGGAAAUGUGGUGCACGGUACAGACAGACCUACGGACACCUGCACACAAUGGCGAAGAGCUCAACCUACGAUUCUGACAAUGACAGAGUCUGCAGCUGCUAAGCGGUCUCACCCUCUGCGGCAUCUGCUGGUGAACACCCUCCCCGGUCGGCGCAAGGGCUACCACUGGCUGCCAAAUCCAGGGGCUUCUGCGCCAGACAAGCCGCCACAUUGCACCCCUUCUGC